AAUCAGUGCAAAAAUCAACAAAGAAUCAACAAGAUCUCUCGCGAUUCUCAGAGAUCCAAUACGGAAUCAUCAUCACCGAAUCAGCCUCUUCGCAAUACAAGUGCGAAUCCAUCACCAUUAGGUUGACGGACUCAAGCACGAUCACGAAGAAGACGCGAAAAGAGAGAAGAGAAGGAGGGUAAAGAAACCGAAUCGGAACCGUGAAACACGCAGAGCGCGCGCAACUCCAGACCGUAAAACAGAGGCAUCAACGGCGAAGAGGUAAUCCUUCGCUUUCUUCACUUUUCCUUUCCUUUUCGUUUCCAAAGAUUUCGCAAGGUUCAAAUUUAGAUCUACUCCG
rnacentral:lncRNA from 1 species